CUUUCCCCAUUAUGUUGACUGAAUAACUGACAAGAAGAAACUUAAGGGUAGGGAUGGGGUUAUCUGGGCUCACAGUUUCCUGGGAUACAGUCAGUUAUGGUGGGGAAGGCGCGGCACCCAUAGGUCCAUGGUGGACAACAGAGUGUGGAUGGAGAGAGAUCCUUACCCUCUCUUUGCCCUCUCAGGAAGCCAAGAAAGACAAGCGUGGGUGGAUGCUGGGAUGGUUUUCUCCUUUGCUCAUCUCAUUCAGUCAACCCUCUUUGGAAACAGUCGCUGAGAUACUCCCAGAGUAUAUGUGUCGGGAGCAGAUGAAAUCUGAGUGGAUGUGUUGUGUUGAUGUGGGCACAGCCAGGACAAGACCCCGGGGCCUCAGACCCAUGGCAAAGCCUUCCCUGGUGCCCUGUUUCUGAGUUGAAGAAUCCGUGAUUUGUGCACGAUUUGACCGAUCUCUGUGGAAUCCCUACGUGAAUGUUGGCAGUCUUUUAGUCUUAUGAUCAAACACCCAUUUGACUCCCUACCAAGCUAACCAUGGUGUGCGCUUCCUCUGUUGGCGCAGGUAGAAACAUCCAG
rnacentral:lncRNA from 1 species